rnacentral:rRNA from 1 species
AGAGUUUGAUCAUGGCUCAGAUUGAACGCUGGCGGCAUGCCUUACACAUGCAAGUCGAACGGUAACAGGUUAAGCUGACGAGUGGCGAACGGGUGAGUAAUAUAUCGGAACGUGCCCAGUCGUGGGGGAUAACUGCUCGAAAGAGCAGCUAAUACCGCAUACGACCUGAGGGUGAAAGCGGGGGAUCGCAAGACCUCGCGCGAUUGGAGCGGCCGAUAUCAGAUUAGGUAGUUGGUGGGGUAAAGGCCCACCAAGCCAACGAUCUGUAGCUGGUCUGAGAGGACGACCAGCCACACUGGGACUGAGACACGGCCCAGACUCCUACGGGAGGCAGCAGUGGGGAAUUUUGGACAAUGGGCGCAAGCCUGAUCCAGCCAUGCCGCGUGCGGGAAGAAGGCCUUCGGGUUGUAAACCGCUUUUGUCAGGGAAGAAAAGGUUCUAGUUAAUACCUGGGACUCAUGACGGUACCUGAAGAAUAAGCACCGGCUAACUACGUGCCAGCAGCCGCGGUAAUACGUAGGGUGCAAGCGUUAAUCGGAAUUACUGGGCGUAAAGCGUGCGCAGGCGGUUAUGCAAGACAGAGGUGAAAUCCCCGGGCUCAACCUGGGAACUGCCUUUGUGACUGCAUGGCUAGAGUACGGUAGAGGGGGAUGGAAUUCCGCGUGUAGCAGUGAAAUGCGUAGAUAUGCGGAGGAACACCGAUGGCGAAGGCAAUCCCCUGGACCUGUACUGACGCUCAUGCACGAAAGCGUGGGGAGCAAACAGGANUAGAUACCCUGNNAGUCCACGCCCUAAACGAUGUCAACUGGUUGUUGGGAGGGUUUCUUCUCAGUAACGUAGCUAACGCGUGAAGUUGACCGCCU